GAGUAAACCUGAUGUGGCUGUUAGCUGGCUUAGGCAUGUGCUCGUCCAUCAUCUUUAUAUCUCCACCUGUGCACAUUUUGUAGACUUGGAUAAUGGCUCUGUCAUUUACAAGACUAUGUUUUCAAUAUACCCAAAGCAUGUUUAAAGAAUGUCAUCAAUAGGAACUUGGUUUCCUAUUAGAAACUAUACAACUUUCAGCAACGGAUCUCUUGGCUCUCGCAUCGAUGAAGAACGCAGCGAAAUGCGUUAAGUAAUGUGAAUUGCAGAAUUCAGUGAAUCAUCGAAUCUUUGAACGCACCUUGCGCUCCUUGGUAUUCCGAGGAGCAUGCCUGUUUGAGUGUCAUUAAAUUCUCAACCUUUCCAUUAAUUUAAUUUGGU
rnacentral:misc_RNA from 1 species